GAAAAGGAGCAAUCCGGUACAGGAUGGACCCGCGUCUGAUUAGCCAGUUGGCAGGGUAACGGCCUACCAAAGCGACGAUCAGUAGCCGAUCUGAGAGGAUGUACGGCCACAUUGGGACUGAGACGCGGCCCAGACUCCUACGGGAGGCAGCAGUGGGGAAUAUUGCACAAUGGAGGGAAGUUUGAUGCAGCGACGCCGCGUGAGUGAAGAAGUAUUUCGGUAUGUAAAGCUCUAUCAGCAGGGAAGAAAAUGACGGUACCUGACUAAGAAGCACCGGCUAAAUACGUGCCAGCAGCCGCGGUAAUACGUAUGGUGCAAGCGUUAUCCGGAUUUACUGGGUGUAAAGGGAGCGUAGGUGGCAAGGCAAGCCAGAAGUGAAAACCCGGGGCUCAACCGCGGGAUUGCUUUUGGAACUGUCAUGCUAGAGUGCAGGAGGGGUGAGCGGAAUUCCUAGUGUAGCGGUGAAAUGCGUAGAUAUUAGGAGGAACACCGGAGGCGAAGGCGGCUCACUGGACUGUAACUGACACUGAGGCUCGAAAGCGUGGGGAGCAAACAGGAUUAGAUACCCUGGUAGUCCACGCGGUAAACGAUGAAUACUAGAUGUCGGGUAGCAUAGCUACUCGGUGUC
rnacentral:rRNA from 1 species